GCCCGGAAUAGCCUUGGUAUACAAACGUUUUUCAUAUAGAACAUUUUAAGGCGUGUAUUUUGUGUCAUUUUAGGAGAACUGUAUAACAUUUAGGUAUUUUUGUUGUUGUUGUUGUUUGUAUUGCUAUCAAAUGUCAAAACGGGUCAAAUCUGAGUAAAAAGAGUAUGUAAGGGUUAAGUAGAGUUUGUGAGUACUUUUGGUAUUCGGUCGUGUUACUCCGAAAGAGAGAGAGAUGAGGGGAGGGAAGAGUGAGGACGCAGCCGGCCAGCGUUGAGCCCGUGGGACAGCCUUCUCCCUCCCACCGGCGGACGAAAGCAAAGGGAGACAGCUCUCCUCCAGACAGACGCAUCCACCUCCUCCUCCACGGGUCAUGGACGGCGUGGCGUCGCAGCACGUCGGCGUGGAGGAGGCUGACAACACGUUCCGCGCCCUCGCCUACGACACGGCGUUGAGCACGCUGGUGGCCGUAGCCGUGUACGUGGCGCUCAAAGCCGGCCUGGACGGCGUCCGGCGGUGGCGCGCCCGCAUCGCGGUGCUCGUGGUGGGCUCGGGUCCCGUGGGGCUGACGGCCGCCCUGGUCGCUGUCCGCUCGGGUAAGGUGCUGAAGCUGACCGUGCUGGACGAGCGCAACCGGAGCGCGCUGCUCUGCCGGCCGCAGCAGAUCGCCCUGGACCCACGCAGCGUGGACUUUCUGCUGGGACUCGGCGUGGACUUUGACAACAUGGAGGGAUGCUGGAACGACGAACACUUCUUCACCAGGAUGGGCGUGUUCCAGGAGUACCUGCUCAGCAUCCUGGAGCAGAAGAAGCAGGAGGUGAACGUCAGGGUGCAGCUCGGUACCAAGUUCACAGAGGAUUACCUGCGGCGCAUCCCGGCUGGCGAGUGGCCACGAGUGAUUGUGGUGGCCGACGGCUCGUGUGGCGACUCCUGCUCUGUGCUGGGCCUCAGCUCCGACUACGCCAUAGAGUCGUGCCACGCCUACGGAGCCAACGCCUGCAUCGAGAGGCUGGACCAAAGACAGGUGCCCACCCCAGAGAUCCGCGCCCACAUGCUCUACUUCGACCUGUCAGCGUAUGGGGUGGAAGCCCUGAGGGAGCACCGCAACCCCUCGGCCAAGCCGGGAUUCCACGUGAAGAUCUACGGCACCUUCCGUAACCGCUACAUGGCCCUCGCCUGUCCCGCCUCCGACGCCAAGAUGGUCCGCUUCCUCAGACACACCGCCAAUUCCUCGAUUAUGAAGAACAUCUUCCAUCAGUCCUUCAACGCAUACAAAACGGAUGUUGAGCCGCGGCUGAACGACGUGACGCUCUACCACAUGCAGUGCAGCCGGCGCCUCUUCGAGAUCGAGCUGUCGCACAGACGCGUCAGUGCCGCCUACAUCGAGGGGGACAACGUCGCCGUCACCGUGGAGGGAGAGGCGGCCCGCGUUCUUAACUUUGACACUGGUUGCGGGGUGAAUCUGGGCCUGCGAGGCCUGGAGUCCAUGGGCACAUUCAUCUACCGCACGGCCACGGCCGUGGACCAGCACGACGUCCUGGAGGCCCUCACGGCCAAGAUGCAGCACUCCAGACAAGUGGCCCGCGCCUUCAAGCAUACGGGCCUGACUGAGUCCAUGUAUGCCUGACAACGGGAUGCUCCCAUGGACAGUGCACUCCUAGUGGUCGCAGAGAGAAGGGACUGUCGUGUUUGGUGAGCUAAAGUGAAUGAAGUAUGUAAAGAUUUAAGUGGGCAGCGUCUACUUAGUGUUAUGGCUUUUUGGUGCCAUGCAUUAACUGCGUCGCCCUGUUGCCGUCCUGCCUGCAUCUGGUUUCCCCACCCUGUGAAAAAUGUGUCACCAAAGAAUUUAUUGCGUGGCUUUCAUUCCAUCAGCAUGAGCUACUAUCAUGCAGAAAGUGCUGUUUUUUUUUUUUUUUUUUUUUUUUUUUUAAUAAAAGCAGCAUUCUGACAGCGCAAGUAUAUUCUGUUGCGGCGGAAAAGAAAAAUGGUACUCAUGUGAGCAGGAGAAAGUGCUGGCUUGUGUGCAUGUUUGGCAUUUACCUACUGUAUAGUGUAAUAUGGGUACCAGAAAGGUGAAGCGAUGUAAAAAUGGAAUGUGAUUAUGUAUAGUAAUGUAUAAAAAUACUUUUGUCUGCAAGUAAUCAAUCAAUCAAAUCAAUUAUUAAUACUUUUUUUUUUGCUUGAAAAGGUAAGUCAUUUUGUGCAAACAGUAAUGCUAAUUCAUAGAAAACUGACAUUUUUGUCUUAACUAAAUGUCCCCCCCCCCCCUCCCAAUAAUGAUUCUAAUGCAAUUCCAAAAGAGUUUUAGCAAAAAGCAUUCUAAAAAUCUAGUAAGAUUUCCUCCAAAAAAAGUAAUGCUCAUUAACUUUUUGAUCUUAAUUUAUGAGUGCCCCAACUAGAGAGUUUUUCGAGUUACGGUAAUUUUUUUCCCUUUGUGCCGCAAGCAAUAUUUUGACUUAUGAGUGAGCUUCUGGACAGUAGCUGCGAAUUUGACAACAUCCGGCCACCAUCAGUUUACAAGGAAAGUACAGAGGGGAGGACUGAAAAAAAUGUCAGUGCUUUUUGGGGGGAUGGAACAGAUUAAUCCAAUUGCCAUUCCAAACAAAGGGGAAAACUGAUUUAGGAUAAGAGUGAUUUAAGUUACGAGGAUGGUCACAGAAUGAAUUAAACUGAUAUCUCAAGGCAGCACUGUGCUUUAUUAAUAGAGGUACAAAAAUAAAUCGAUUAAUCGCCAGCUAAUCAAUCAUCAAAUUAAUUGACAACUACAGUAUUUUGAUAAUUGAUUAAUCAUUUGGAGACAUCAUUUAACUUUAAAUUGUCCAAAUCUUCUGACUUCAGUCUCUCAACAGUUAAGAUUUUGUGAGAUUUCUUUAGUUCUCCAUGAAAGCAGAUGGAUUAUCUGUGUUUUCAAUUAAAAUAAGACAUUCGCAAACAUCUGGUUUUACUUUGGAAAAAGACGAUCAACAUUUUUGCUGAUUUUCUGACAUGUUACAGACCAAUCCAGUAACUGGAUUGUAAUCGAUUUAUGCUUCUGCAUUUUCUUCACUGUCAAUUGGAAAUAAUUUCCUGUUAUUGAAUAAAAGGAUGGAAAUUAAAAUAUUUUUUUAUAAUACGAUUCAUUGAUUACUGGAAAAACUGAUUAAUCAAUGAUUAAAAUAAUCGUUAGUUGCAGCCCUAAUUUUUAAUGUAAUUAGAGAACUUAUACUGAGUGUAAACUUGUGGCCAAUGAGUGUAUGUACUUACUGUAUGAAGCAUUUGUAUCGAGUGAGUGAAGUACUUCCUGUUUCUAGUUUGUCACUAAAGUGUGUGUGUGUUUGUGUGUGUGUGUGUGUGUGUGUGUCCGUCACUCAGCCGCUACCAGCUUGCUCCUCGGAAAGAACAUAUUCCCUGUCGUUGGCGGGCACCCGUCAGAGGGGGCGGGUGGCUCUCAUCACGCGCCGCCACUUGCCCGGCGCUGGCAUUGAUCUGGCGUGGAGGGAGGAGAGAUCUGACAGGCCUGCCACAAAAAUCAGAGCCCUCUCAAAGCCCGGCCGCAUAGGACACACGCGCACACAAACACAUUCCCAAAGUCAAAAAGAGCAGUCAGUCAGUCAGCGGGGUACGCACGCAGCGCGGGCUUGUCAGCACGCAUCGGCCGGACCAGGCAGGCCCAAUGUGGAAGGAAGAGAAUGGCAAGUGAAGGCAGAUGUUAGGGGAGAGACAGAAAAAAAUGUUGCAUUAUGUAAAAAAAAAAAAAAAGUCAUACUAAUUGUAUUUGCGUUUUAUAAUAUGCCUGUAUAAUACUCGCACUCUUUUACUACAAAGCCAUGCCGUUGUAAUACGUGCAGAAUGUGGCUUGGAAUUGUCUUGUCGACGUCUCUGAAAAAGAUGUUACUUGGAUGGCAGCAUAUGUUCCUUUUCUUCUUUGUUCUGUAGGACACGACAUCCAUGAUUUCCAAAAACAAUUUGUAAUGUGGACUCGUCAGACCACAGCACACUUUUCCAUUUUGCGUCAGUCCAUGUCAGAUGAGCUCGGGGCCAGAGAAUCCUACGCGGCGUUUCUGGGUGUUGUUGAUAUAUGACUUUGGCUUUGCAUAGUAGAGUUUUAACUUUCAUUUCUAGCUGUAGCACCAAAAUGUGUUAACUGACAAUGGUUUUCUGAAGUGUUCCUCAGCCCACAAGGCAAUAUCCUUUACACAAUGAUGCCAGUUUUUAAUGCAGUGCCGACUGAAGGAUCGAAGGUCACAGGCAUUUAAUACUUGUUUUCGUCUUUGCCGCUUACAUGCAGGGAUUUCCCGAGAGUCUCUGAAUCUUUUGAUGAUAAUAUGGACCGUAGAUGAUAGAAUACCAAAUUUUCCAAAUAGUUUUUUUUCCCCAGCAUUUUUGGAAUGUGUUGCAGGCAUCAAAUUCAAAAUGAGAGAAUAUCUUGAAAAGAAAAACCUAUAACCUUCAUCAAUUUGAACAUGAAGUAUCUUGUCUUUGUAGAUGUAUUCAAUCGAAUAUACUGUAGGUUGCAAAUCAUUGUAUUGUGUUUUUAUUUACGUUUUACCCAAUGAACCAACUUCAUUUUGUAGAACAUUUGCGUACAUAUUUGUCAUUUUUUAAAAGAGAAUGUUUAAACAAGCAUUCUAAUAAUUUAAUGGCAUUUUCUAUGAAAUGUAAUGCUAAUGAGUAUAAAUUUAUCAUUUUAUGGCUAACUUGAAAAAGCAGAUGGUAGUCAUCGCUUAAAAUAGUAUGUUUAAAAGAGUGAUACCUUGACUUACAAGUGGCCCAACUUCUAAAUUUUUCAAGUUACGAGCCGUCACUUGCUUGACUUUUUAAUUUUUGCGAGUCAAAAUUUGAACUGAAAACACUUGCAAGGUGCUGCUGUAGGCCACAACUCACACCCAGACGCUCGCACCACUAUAAACAGCGAACCCGACUCCAGCUACUAACAUCAUAAACUAGGUCACGCUCCUUAAAGGCAUACAUCCAACAUGCAAAUACUAAAGUAUGUACAGCAAUUGCAUGUUAUGAAACCAGUUGACUGUAAUCCUUUAUCGCGGGGGUUACAUUGCAGGCCACCCCCGCAAUAGAUGAAAUCUGCGAAGUAGUGACCAAGUGUUUAUUUUAUUAUUUACCGAGCUUUUAAAGUUUCAUGUAUACUCGUCAUCACCAAUAGACAAUACAGUACAUGCAUGUGAGGUGCAAGUAUUAUUUUUGUCCACUUGGGGUCAUUGUCUACUCAUUCUUCAUCAUGGUAAUUAUGACUGUGAAUAUGUGUAACCCUUAAAAAUAUAAUAAAAAUCCACGGUGCACUGAA